GCGUUGGUGGUGCAACGGUUCAGCACGCGCUCCCGGAUAGAGUGGAAUAUGGGUUCGAAUCCCAGCUGACGCA